CCUACGGGUGGCAGCAGUGGGGAAUAUUGGACAAUGGGGGGAACCCUGAUCCAGCGACGCCGCGUGAGUGAAGAAGUAUUUCGGUAUGUAAAGCUCUAUCAGCAGGGAAGAAAGAAAUGACGGUACCUGACUAAGAAGCCCCGGCUAAAUACGUGCCAGCAGCCGCGGUAAUACGUAGGGGGCAAGCGUUAUCCGGAUUUACUGGGGGUAAAGGGAGCGUAGACGGCGAUGCAAGUCUGAAGUGAAAGGCGGGGGCCCAACCCCCGGACUGCUUUGGAAACUGUAUGGCUGGAGUGCAGGGGAGGUAAGUGGAAUUCCUAGUGUAGCGGUGAAAUGCGUAGAUAUUAGGAGGAACACCAGUGGCGAAGGCGGCUUACUGGACUGUAACUGACGUUGAGGCUCGAAAGCGUGGGGAGCAAACAGGAUUAGAUACCCUUGUAGUC
rnacentral:rRNA from 1 species